UGAAAGACUCUCGGCAACGGAUAUCUCGGCUCUUGCAUCGAUGAAGAACGUAGCGAAAUGCGAUACUUGGUGUGAAUUGCAGAAUCCCGUGAACCAUCGAGUCUUUGAACGCAAGUUGCGCCCGAAGCCAUUAGGCUGAGGGCACGCCUGCCUGGGUGUCGC
rnacentral:rRNA from 1 species